rnacentral:rRNA from 1 species
AUACAGAGGGUGCGAGCGUUAAUCGGAUUUACUGGGCGUAAAGCGCGCGUAGGUGGUUAAUUAAGUCAAAUGUGAAAUCCCCGAGCUUAACUUGGGAGUUGCAUUCGAUACUGGUUAGCUAGAGUAUGGGAGAGGAUGGUAGAAUUCCAGGUGUAGCGGUGAAAUGCGUAGAGAUCUGGAGGAAUACCGAUGGCGAAGGCAGCCAUCUGGCCUAAUACUGACACUGAGGUGCGAAAGCAUGGGGAGCAAACAGGAUUAGAUACCCUGGUAGUCCAUGCCGUAAACGAUGUCUACUAGCCGUCGGGGGAUUUGAUCCUUUAGUGGCGCAGCUAACGCGAUAAGUAGACCGCCUGGGGAGUACGGUCGCAAGACUAAAACUCAAAUGAAUUGACGGGG